AGCGAACGCUGGCGGCAGGCCUAACACAUGCAAGUCGAACGGACCCUUCGGGGUUAGUGGCGGACGGGUGAGUAACACGUGGGAACGUGCCCUUUGGUUCGGAACAACUCAGGGAAACUUGAGCUAAUACCGAAUGUGCCCUUCGGGGGAAAGAUUUAUCGCCAUUGGAGCGGCCCGCGUCUGAUUAGCUAGUUGGUGGGGUAAUGGCCUACCAAGGCUACGAUCAGUAGCUGGUCUGAGAGGAUGAUCAGCCACAUUGGGACUGAGACACGGCCCAACCUCCUACGGGAGGCAGCAGUGGGGAAUCUUGCGCAAUGGGCGAAAGCCUGACGCAGCCAUGCCGCGUGAACGAUGAAGGUCUUAGGAUUGUAAAAUUCUUUCACCGGGGACGAUAAUGACGGUACCCGGAGAAGAAGCCCCGGCUAACUUCGUGCCAGCAGCCGCCGUAAUAC
rnacentral:rRNA from 1 species